UACGUAGGGACCGAGCGUUGUCCGGAUUCAUUGGGCGUAAAGAGCUCGUAGGCGGCUGCUCAAGUCGAAUGUGAAAACUCGAGGCUCAACCUCGAGCCUGCAUUCGAUACUGGGCGGCUAGAGUCUGGUAGGGGGAUCUGGAAUACCUGGUGUAGUGGUGAAAUACGUAGAUAUCAGGUGGAACACCGGAGGCGAAGGCGGGUGACUGGCCAAACACUGACCCUGAGGCCCGAAAGCGUGGGGAUCAAACAGG
rnacentral:rRNA from 1 species